rnacentral:misc_RNA from 1 species
GAUGAAGAACGUAGCGAAAUGCGAUACGUAAUGUGAAUUGCAGAAUUCAGUGACUCAUCGAAUCUUUGAACGCAUAUUGCGCUCUCUGGUAUUCCGGAGAGCAUGCUUGUUUGAGUAUCAGUAAACACCUCAACUUCCAUAUCUUUUUUGAAAUGGGAGUUGGACUUGAGUGAUCCCAACGCUUUUCCUCACCGAAAAGUGGCGGGUUACUUGAAAUGCAGGUGCAGCUGGACUUUUCUCUGAGCUAUAAGCAUAUCUAUUUAGUCUGCCUAAAAAACAGAUUAUUACCUUUGCUGCAGCUAACAUAAAGGAGAUUAGUUCUUGUGCUGACUGAUGCAGGAUUCACAAAGACGGCUUCGGCCGACUUUGUAAACUCGAUCUCAAAUCAAGUAAGACUACCCGCUGAACUUAAGCAUAUCAAUAAGCGGAGGA